UACGUAGGGGGCAAGCGUUGUCCGGAAUCACUGGGCGUAAAGCGCGCGCAGGCGGCCAUUUGCGUCCGGGGGUGAAAGCCCAGAGCUCAACUCUGGGAUUGCCUUGGAUACGGGAUGGCUUGAGGAUCGGAGAGGCAAGGGGAAUUCCACGUGUAGCAGUGAAAUGCGUAGAGAUGUGGAGGAAUACCGAUGGCGAAGGCAGCCUCCUGGGCCAACACUGACGCUCAUGCACGAAAGCGUGGGGAGCAAACAGG
rnacentral:rRNA from 1 species